GACGAACGCUGGCGGCGUGCCUAACACAUGCAAGUCGCACGGGGAGUUAUUUAUAACUCCUAGUGGCGAACGGGUGAGUAACGCGUAGACAACCUGCCUCUAAAUUGGGGACAACACCGCGAAAGUGGUGCUAAUACCGAAUGUGGUAACUUGGUCGCAUGACACGGUUAAGAAAGAUGGCCUCUCUAUAUAAGAUACCAAUUAGAGGUGGGUCUACGUCUGAUUAGCUAGUUGGUGGGGUAAUGGCUCACCAAGGCGACGAUCAGUAGACGGUCUGAGAGGAUGAACGGACACACUGGGACUGAGACACGGCCCAGACUCCUACGGGAGGCAGCAGUGGGGAAUCUUCCGCAAUGGACGAAAGUCUGACGGAGCAACGCCGCGUGAGUGAAGAAGGUCUUCGGAUUGUAAAGCUCUGUCGUUUGGGACGAACGUGGAUUGUGUGAAUAAUGCAGUCUAAUGACGGUACCAAAGGAGGAAGCCACGGCUAACUACGUGCCAGCCGCCGCGGUAA
rnacentral:rRNA from 1 species